AUGUUCUUGCAGCUUAAGGCACUCAUUCAGGGUGUGUAUCUUGGGCAUUACAUGCUCGAUAGGUGCAAGGCAGUCUCAGGAAGUACUUGUUUGUUGUGGAUUUCAUCUUAUGAUGUGGAUGAGACGACAUGGGCAAACUUCCAAUCAUAUUUGCAGAAGUUGCCAGGCACUGAGAUCAAAAUUGUAGUGACAGGCAGAGCAGAGCAAGUUGCAAACUUGGGGACUGCUCAACCCAUCAGGCUGAAGAGUCUGUCUGAAGAAGAGUCCUGGUACUACUUAAAGGCACUUGCCUUUGGAAGCAUGGAUCCCGAUGAGCAUCCAAAACUGGCAUCUUUGGGUAUGCAACUAGCAACACUCCUACAGGGAUUAUUUCUUGGUGCAAAUAUACGAGCCACUAAGAGCGAGCCCAAAUGCUCAAUUCUUGCGUGGUGUAUUAUGUAG
rnacentral:rRNA from 1 species